UUAACUCGAAUUUGUAUGGAGUUCGAACAUAUGCCUACGUUUGCCGCUAGGGGCGCUGUUCUAACUGCAAACAAAUUUGAGUUA
rfam:Bombyx mori DNA, contig: Bm_scaf33_contig20448, strain: p50T/Dazao, build 2, whole genome shotgun sequence.